UUGGUCAUCGAUCUGGUCUGUGGCCGCAUAUGGAUGCUUUGUCUGCUUAAGCAACAUCGUGUAAGAAGCCUAUGGUUUGCGUAAGUGGUACCCAACCUUGUUGACCGAUUGACUAAACGAUAGGUAAGUCGCUUAAGCGACUGCCGUGUAAGCAACAGGAUUAUCGCUUAAGAGACACUUGACACUAUUUAAUUCUUUUUCUUCACUCGAUUUUCUAUCACUUCUUCCACCCCUUUUACACCAAAUUGGGAGCUUAAAGAGAGGAAAAAAAGUGAUAAAUCAUCCAUAUAAGUUAAGGAUCAUAGAAUAAAGAAAGACGAUUUGUGGAUGAUUCAAGGAUUUUAAUUCGGCAUUGAGGGACCUGCAACCGCUACCCUUUGGGUGCGACAUACGGUAAAUCUGCUCCUGUGCAAUAGCUCACAAAUAACACAGAAGAGGUAAACCGGACUAGACAAGGCCCAGGCGACGAGCUCAACUCAAAAGGCAAACCCCCUGGUGUCACAAGUAAGGCGUUUCGAACUUGAGACCUCCAUUAUGCAAAUACCGAGCCAAACCAUCUGUCACCCCAAAGGGUGACUUUACUUUUCUACUGAUCCUUUUAGAUAAUUAAGACGAAAGUUCCAAAUACAUUUAAAAGAAAAGGGAUAGACAAAAGCACAACUUCAAUCUAAUUUACUUCUCCAAUCCCAAGUCCCAACAUAGGAAUUUGUAACUAUUUAUCACUUUUUAAAAAAAAAAAAAACUUGCAACAUUAACAAAACAUCCCGUGUACUCCCACAAAGUGGGGCCUGAGGAGGAUAGAGUGUGCGCAAAUCUUACCUCUGCCUCUAGAGAUAUUGUUUCCAAGACUAUCGACUCAAGAAAAAGUCUAAAGUGAUAAUGGAAGUACAAGAAUCAACAGACAAUAACAAAAAUAACAGAUAGUAACAGAGUGGAAACUACCAUAAAAUAAUACAAUAAUCGAGGUACAAGAAAAACAGAUAGUAACGGAAAUCAAAGGAUAAGAAACUACAGAAGCAAUACUACAACUACUAAAAAAAAAACCUUAACAACAAGAAAUGAAACCCAAUUGCAGUGCAUAAUUAAGUAAAAGAACUGAUCAAAAUACGAAAGAGUUAAAAGACUAAACCUUGAUAAAACAAAGAAAAGAUCCAAUCAAUGAACCCCACACAGCAAGAAUAGCAAAAAACCUACAGCUAUAAAUAACAUGCAAAAAAACAACCCAAAAAAAUCAAACAAAUACCAACAGUUAAAAAAGGAAUUUCUAAUAAAAAAGCAAAAAUUUUCUAUCACCUUUUCUACAUUUUUCUCCACCCCUUCUACUUUUUCUUUAUGAAUAUGAAAAACACUUGUGUUAGAAUCCGAUUGAAUAACAGGUGAUGGAGCAUGUACUGGAGAAUGUGUACGGCGAACAGUGGAUAAAGAAACUGGAAAUUCAAAACCAGAAAACUGUAACAUAAGGGCCAUUUCACUGAUUUUGAAUUCUUGAAAGUAAAUAUUGGACCUUUAAGAUUUGUAGAAGUACAAAAAUACGUAAGAGCAAUAUAUUAUGCAUGACAAAAAGUUCCUAAGUAAAUAUACUACUAUAGUGUAUGUACAUCAAA